AAAAGAUAUCAAAGGGAAUAUUAUUUUUUAAAUCCCUUUCUAGGAUCUGACAUCUUGGGCCAUUGAUAUCACAGCGUUUUAUUGAGUUAGGCCCAUUGUUAGGUAGCUUGUCAGGUUUUAGUUCCUGAGGAAGGUCAAGGAGGAGGCCACAGUCCGCGUUUGACUUAAUGCUGUACUUUGCCCAUCUCUGAAUUCAGGGCAGGAGGCCUCCACCAUCCUCUCUAGUCAAAGACCCUCCUGUCUCCCAGUUACCUAAGUUCCACAAGACACUUUUUCCCUUUUCCAAGGAGGUUUGUUGGUUGUUCAAGGUUCCAGCAUAUGGAGGAAAAUUCGCUAUCCUCUCCUCUGGUUCUUCUACAGAGUUUACAAAAGGAGGCCCAGUUGCCUAAACUGCUUGUAAUUUUUCCAAGAAGCAGAUUGGCCUCUAUUGCCAGGUCUGAAGUGUAGAAAGCCCCUAAACAAAUUAUUCUUGACAACCACCCUCCCCCACAUACUUUAGCCCAGUUGUUUUGGACAUGAGCAAAUGCCAGUAGUUGGGAGAGGGGGCAAUUCUAGAUAUUGCCAGGUAAUAAAUUAUGUUCUCAUAUUCCUUACUCUCAUUAGGGGAACUAUGCUUGGAUAAUAACCACUAUUAUGUCCCUGAUGAUCCCCCCAUCCAAGGACAGAAAGCCAAGUGUCAAGACACUGACCCUACUUAAAUCUUGAGACAUUCCCUUACUAUCCAAUCAUAAGAUGUGUGGAAAAAGAUAGAUGGAUGUAGAUAGACCUAAGAGAGAGAUGGCCAAAAGUAAAAAGAGAGAAAGAGAGGAGGGGGGAGUAAGAGAAAUAGAGACAGAAAGGGAGGAAAGAGGAAAAAGGAGGAAAGUGAGUAGAGGAGAGGAGCCAUUUUUUUUUCUAUUAAGGCAGUCAGUGUUAGAGUUUAUAUUGGGUUUAUAUUACAACUCCUUCCAUAAUUGCGCACCUGAUCCAAACUUGUUUAAUCCCAUGUGUCUUCGAGGAUAACUAGUUGCUGUUGCUCUGCCAUUUCUAUGGAACAGAGAUGUGCAAAUCCAGUUUCCCAGAGACCUCGAUUUUUCCCGAGAAGCCCAGUCCCCAAGUCUCCCUUGGGAGGUGGAAUGCCCAGGGAUCCCUACAUCUUGGUGCUUUCUUAUCCCCUGACACAGCCUCUCACUGCAUUCUGACAUCUUUUGAAAUCUAACAGGGCAGUCAGUGUCCAGGGAGUCUCACUGGAAAGCGAGGAACGGAGUCCACUGGAGGAGUUUCUGGGGAGAAUGAAUUCAAGAGGAGAAACGUCCAGAAGCCCAGGAUUCUGCAGGGACACCCCACCGCCUGUACCCUUUAAACCAGCAGUUCUGGACAUGGGCAAGUGGCUGUCCGGGGACACAGUCAACCCUAGAAAUGCUAGGUAGUUUAGAGUCUCACGUGUCAUUUUCACCUAAAGGGGUCCCUGCCCAGCUCCUAGCCACCUUUGGCUCCCUGAUGCUUCCCUCUCAGGGAAAGAAAGCUAUGGGUCAGGAAGGACACUGGGGCUGCUUUAAUCUCUGCUCUUCCCCUUAAGCUCCUGCUACAGGCUAAAAAGAGAAGGAGAGGGGGAAGA